CCACUUGUGGGUGGAUUAGUGGCGAACGGGUGAGUAACACGUGAGUAACCUGCCCUUGACUCUGGGAUAAGCCUGGGAAACUGGGUCUAAUACCGGAUAUGACUGACUAUCGCAUGGUGGUUGGUGGAAAGCUUUUUUGUGGUUUUGGAUGGACUCGCGGCCUAUCAGCUUGUUGGUGGGGUAAUGGCCUACCAAGGCGACGACGGGUAGCCGGCCUGAGAGGGUGACCGGCCACACUGGGACUGAGACACGGCCCAGACUCCUACGGGAGGCAGCAGUGGGGAAUAUUGCACAAUGGGCGCAAGCCUGAUGCAGCGACGCCGCGUGAGGGAUGACGGCCUUCGGGUUGUAAACCUCUUUCAGUAGGGAAGAAGCGAAAGUGACGGUACCUGCAGAAGAAGCGCCGGCUAACUACGUGCCAGCAGCCGCGGUAAUACGUAGGGCGCAAGCGUUAUCCGGAAUUAUUGGGCGUAAAGAGCUCGUAGGCGGUUUGUCGCGUCUGCCGUGAAAGUCCGGGGCUCAACUCCGGAUCUGCGGUGGGUACGGGCAGACUAGAGUGAUGUAGGGGAGACUGGAAUUCCUGGUGUAGCGGUGAAAUGCGCAGAUAUCAGGAGGAACACCGAUGGCGAAGGCAGGUCUCUGGGCAUUAACUGACGCUGAGGAGCGAAAGCAUGGGGAGCGAACAGGAUUAGAUACCCUGGUAGUCCAUGCCGUAAACGUUGGGCACUAGGUGUGGGGGACAUUCCACGUUUUCCGCGCCGUAGCUAACGCAUUAAGUGCCCCGCCUGGGGAGUACGGCCGCAAGGCUAAAACUCAAAGGAAUUGACGGGGGCCCGCACAAGCGGCGGAGCAUGCGGAUUAAUUCGAUGCAACGCGAAGAACCUUACCAAGGCUUGACAUGAACCGGUAAUGCCUGGAAACAGGUGCCCCACUUUGUGGUCGGUUUACAGGUGGUGCAUGGUUGUCGUCAGCUCGUGUCGUGAGAUGUUGGGUUAAGUCCCGCAACGAGCGCAACCCUCGUUCUAUGUUGCCAGCACGUGAUGGUGGGGACUCAUAGGAGACUGCCGGGGUCAACUCGGAGGAAGGUGGGGACGACGUCAAAUCAUCAUGCCCCUUAUGUCUUGGGCUUCACGCAUGCUACAAUGGCCGGUACAAAGGGUUGCGAUACUGUGAGGUGGAGCUAAUCCCAAAAAGCCGGUCUCAGUUCGGAUUGGGGUCUGCAACUCGACCCCAUGAAGUCGGAGUCGCUAGUAAUCGCAGAUCAGCAACGCUGCGGUGAAUACGUUCCCGGGCCUUGUACACACCGCCCGUCAAGUCACGAAAGUUGGUAACACCCGAAGCCGGUGGCCUAACC
rnacentral:rRNA from 1 species